UACAGAGGGUGCGAGCGUUAAUCGGAAUUACUGGGCGUAAAGCGUGCGUAGACGGUUUUGUAAGUCGGAUGUGAAAUCCCCGGGCUCAACCUGGGAAUUGCAUUCGAGACUGCAAGGCUUGGGUGCGGAAGAGGGAAGCGGAAUUUCCGGUGUAGCGGUGAAAUGCGUAGAUAUCGGAAGGAACAUCAGUGGCGAAAGCGGCUUCCUGGUCCAGCACCGACGUUCAGGCACGAAAGCGUGGGGAGCAAACA
rnacentral:rRNA from 1 species